rnacentral:rRNA from 1 species
UACGAACCGUGCGAACGUUAUUCGGAAUCACUGGGCUUAAAGGGCGCGUAGGCGGGUUGCCAAGUCUGUGGUGAAAUCCUCCAGCUUAACUGGAGAACGGCCGUGGAUACUGGCGACCUCGAGGGGGGUAGGGGCUUGCGGAACUGUGCGUGGAGCGGUGAAAUGCGUUGAUAUGCACAGGAACUCCGGUGGCGAAGGCGGCGAGCUGGACCCUUUCUGACGCUGAGGCGCGAAAGCCAGGGGAGCGAACGGG